AGAGUUUGAUCCUGGCUCAGGAUGAACGCUAGCGGCAGGCUUAACACAUGCAAGUCGAGGGGUAGAAGUCUUCGGACUUUGAGACCGGCGCACGGGUGCGUAACGCGUAUGCAAUCUACCUUUUACAGAGGGAUAGCCCAGAGAAAUUUGGAUUAAUACCUCAUAGUAUUACGACCUGGCAUCAGGAUGUAAUUAAAGUCACAACGGUAAAAGAUGAGCAUGCGUCCCAUUAGCUAGUUGGUAAGGUAACGGCUUACCAAGGCUACGAUGGGUAGGGGUCCUGAGAGGGAGAUCCCCCACACUGGUACUGAGACACGGACCAGACUCCUACGGGAGGCAGCAGUGAGGAAUAUUGGACAAUGGGCGCAAGCCUGAUCCAGCCAUGCCGCGUGCAGGAUGACGGUCCUAUGGAUUGUAAACUGCUUUUAUACAGGAAGAAACACCUCUACGUGUAGAGACUUGACGGUACUGUAAGAAUAAGGAUCGGCUAACUCCGUGCCAGCAGCCGCGGUAAUACGGAGGAUCCAAGCGUUAUCCGGAAUCAUUGGGUUUAAAGGGUCCGUAGGCGGUUUAGUAAGUCAGUGGUGAAAGCCCAUCGCUCAACGGUGGAACGGCCAUUGA
rnacentral:rRNA from 1 species